rnacentral:rRNA from 1 species
AUUGAACGCUGGCGGCAGGCCUAACACAUGCAAGUCGAGCGAGCGGCGGACGGGUGAGUAAUGUAUGGGGACUGCCCGAUAGAGGGGGAUAACUACUGGAACCGGUGGCUAAUCCCGCAUCCUAUCGGCUAACCACUUUGGGAUUAGCUAGUAGGUGGGGUAAAGGCUCACCUAGGCGACGAUCUCUAGCUGGUCGUAGAGGAGGAUCAGCCACACUGGGACUGAGACACGGCCCAGACUCCUACGGAGGCAGCAGUGGGGAAUAUUGCGCAAUGGGCGCAAGCCUGACGCAGCCAUGCCGCGUGUAUGAAGAAGGCCUUAGGGUUGUAAAGUACUUUCAGCGGGGAGGCGUUACCCGCAGAAGAAGCACCGGCUAACUCCGUGCCAGCAGCCGCGGUAAUUC